rnacentral:tRNA from 1 species
CGGGCGAUCGCGGAGCGGGACGCGGCUCGCUUCGACCGGGCUUUCUUCAAGCACGUCGGUUUCACCGUUUCCAACGCGGUUCGCACUC